GAGAUCCAGUCCCACAGUACUCCGUAGC
rnacentral:piRNA from 1 species